GCGGCGGACGGGUGAGUAACACGUGGGUAACCUACCUAUAAGACUGGAAUAACUUCGGGAAACCGGAGCUAAUGCCGGAUAACAUAUAGAACCGCAUGGUUCUAUAGUGAAAGAUGGUUUUGCUAUCACUUAUAGAUGGACCCGCGCCGUAUUAGCUAGUUGGUAAGGUAAUGGCUUACCAAGGCGACGAUACGUAGCCGACCUGAGAGGGUGAUCGGCCACACUGGAACUGAGACACGGUCCAGACUCCUACGGGAGGCAGCAGUAGGGAAUCUUCCGCAAUGGGCGAAAGCCUGACGGAGCAACGCCGCGUGAGUGAUGAAGGUUUUCGGAUCGUAAAACUCUGUUAUUAGGGAAGAACAAAUGCGUAAGUAACUGUGCGCAUCUUGACGGUACCUAAUCAGAAAGCCACGGCUAACUACGUGCCAGCAGCCGCGGUAAUACGUAGGUGGCAAGCGUUAUCCGGAAUUAUUGGGCGUAAAGCGCGCGUAGGCGGUUUCUUAAGUCUGAUGUGAAAGCCCACGGCUCAACCGUGGAGGGUCAUUGGAAACUGGGAAACUUGAGUGCAGAAGAGGAAAGUGGAAUUCCAUGUGUAGCGGUGAAAUGCGCAGAGAUAUGGAGGAACACCAGUGGCGAAGGCGACUUUCUGGUCUGUAACUGACGCUGAUGUG
rnacentral:rRNA from 1 species